CCUACGGGUGGCAGCAGUGGGGAAUAUUGCGCAAUGGACGAAAGUCUGACGCAGCGACGCCGCGUGUGGGAGGAAGCUCUUCGGGGUGUAAACCACUGUCAGGAGGGAAGAACGGCGCUGACUCGAACAGGGUCUAGCGAUUGACGGUACCUCCAAAGGAAGCGCCGGCUAACUCCGUGCCAGCAGCCGCGGUAAGACGGAGGGCGCAAGCGUUGUUCGGAAUUACUGGGCGUAAAGCGCGGGCAGGCGGUCUGUUAAGUCGUUUGUGAAAAUCCGGGGCUCAACCCCGGAAAUGCGUACGAUACUGGCAGGCUGGAGACCGGUAGAGGCUGGCGGAAUUCCUGGUGUAGCGGUGGAAUGCGUAGAUAUCAGGAAGAACACCUGUGGCGAAGGCGGCUAGCUGGGCCGGGUCUGACGCUCAUCCGCGAAAGCGUGGGGAG
rnacentral:rRNA from 1 species